UUGCACAAUGGGCGCAAGCCUGAUGCAGCAACGCCGCGUGCGGGACGAAGGCCUUCGGGUCGUAAACCGCUUUUUCUGAGGGACGAGACAGGACGGUACCUCAGGAAUAAGUCUCGGCUAACUACGUGCCAGCAGCCGCGGUAAAACGUAGGAGGCGAGCGUUAUCCGGAUUUACUGGGCGUAAAGCGCACGCAGGCGGCGCCGUGAGUCGGACGUGAAAGCUCCUGGCUUAACUGGGAGAGGCCGUUCGAUACUGCGGGGCUUGAGGUUGGGAGAGGGGUGCGGAAUUCCCGGUGUAGUGGUGGAAUGCGUAGAUAUCGGGAGGAACACCAGUGGCGAAGGCGGCACCCUGGCCCACACCUGACGCUGAGGUGCGAAAGCGUGGGUAGCAAACAGGAUUAGAUACCCUGGUAGUCCACGCCGUAAACGAUGUCAACUAGGUGUCGGUAGUGUUACACUAGCGGUGCCGUAGCUAACGCGUUAAGUUGACCGCCUGGGGACUACGGCCGCAAGGCUA
rnacentral:rRNA from 1 species